rnacentral:rRNA from 1 species
AGUGAACGCUGGCGGUAGGCCUAACACAUGCAAGUCGAACGGCAGCACAGUAAGAGCUUGCUCUUACGGGUGGCGAGUGGCGGACGUGUGAGGAAUACAUCGGAAUCUACUUUUUCGUGGGGGUUAACGUAGGGGAACUUACGCUAAUACCGCAUACGACCUACGGGUGAAAGCAGGGGAUCUUCGGGCCUUGCGCGAUUGAAUGAGCGGAUGUCGGAUUAGAUAGUUGGCGGGGUAAAGGCCCACCAAGGCGACGAUCCGUAGCUGGUCUGAGAGGAUGAUCAGCGACACUGGAACUGAGACACGGUCCAGACUCCUACGGGAGGCAGCAGUGGGGAAUAUUGGACAAUGGGCGCAAGCAUGAUCCAGCCAUACCGCGUGGGUGAAGAAGGCCUUCGGGUUGUAAAGCCCUUUUGUGGGGAAAGAAAAGCAGCAGGUUAAUACCCCGCUGUUCUGACGGUACCCAAAGAAUAAGCACCGGCUAACUUCGUG